rnacentral:rRNA from 1 species
GAUGAACGCUGGCGGCGUGCCUAAUACAUGCAAGUCGAGCGAACAGACGAGGAGCUUGCUCCUCUGACGUUAGCGGCGGACGGGUGAGUAACACGUGGAUAACCUACCUAUGAGACUGGGAUAACUUCGGGAAACCGGAGCUAAUACCGGAUAACAUGUUGAACCGCAUGGUUCAACAGUGAAAGACGGUUUUGCUGUCACUUAUAGAUGGAUCCGCGUCGCAUUAGCUAGUUGGUAAGGUAACGGCUUACCAAGGCAACGAUGCGUAGCCGACCUGAGAGGGUGAUCGGCCACACUGGAACUGAGACACGGUCCAGACUCCUACGGGAGGCAGCAGUAGGGAAUCUUCCGCAAUGGGCGAAAGCCUGACGGAGCAACGCCGCGUGAGUGAAGAAGGUCUUCGGAUCGUAAAACUCUGUUAUUAGGGAAGAACAAAUGUGUAAGUAACUAUGCACGUCUUGACGGUACCUAAUCAGAAAGCCACGGCUAACUACGUG